rnacentral:rRNA from 1 species
UGAGUACGAGAUGCUACGGCAUCGAAGCAGUCUAUGUCAUACUUCCAAGAAAAGCUUGCAAUGUCAUAAACAAAUAAUGCCUGUACCAUAACCGACACAGGUGGGUAGGUAGAGUAUACUAAGGGGCGCGAGAUAACUCUCUCUAAGGAACUCGGCAAAAUGACUCCGUAACUUCGGGAGAAGGAGUGCCUUAUUUUUAUAAGGUUGCAAUAACAGGAUCCAAGCAACUGUUUACCAAAAACACAGGUCUCCGCUAAGUCGUAAGACGAUGUAUGGGGGCUGACGCCUGCCCAGUGCCAGAAGGUUAAAGAAGUUGGUUAGCAUUAGCGAAGCUGAUAACUGAAGCCCUGGUGAACGGCGGCCGUAACUAUAACGGUCCUAAGGUAGCGAAAUUCCUUGUCGGGUAAGUUCCGACCCGCACGAAAGGCGUAAUGAUUUGGAUACUGUCUCGGAGAGGGGCUCGGUGAAAUAGACUUGUCUGUGAAGAUGCGGACUACCUGCACCUGGACAGAAAGACCCUAUGAAGCUUUACUGUAACUUGAGAUUGAAAUUGGACUUUAUCUGCGCAGUAUAGGUGGGAGACGUUGAAAAUAUUCUUGCGGGAAUAUUGGAGUCAUCAGUGAGAUACCACUCUUAUAAUGUUAGAUUUCUAACUUUGUAUCAUUAUCUGGUCAAAGAACAGUUUCAGGCGGGCAGUUUGACUGGGGCGGUCGCCUCCCAAACGGUAACGGAGGCGCACAAAGGUUUCCUCUGAACGUGUAGAAAUCGUAUCUAGAGUGUAAAGGCAUAAGGAAGCUUGACUGUGAGACCUACAAGUCGAGCAGGGACGAAAGUCGGUCUUAGUGAUCUGACGGUGCUGAGUGGAAAGGCCGUCACUCAACGGAUAAAAGUUACUCUAAGGAUAACAGGCUGAUCUCCCCCAAGAGUUCACAUCGACGGGGAGGUUUGGCACCUCGAUGUCGGCUCAUCGCAUCCUGGGGCGGUAGUACGUCCCAAGGGUUGGGCUGUUCGCCCAUGAAAGCGGUACGCGAGCUGGGUUCAGAACGUCGUGAGACAGUUCGGUCCAUAUCCGGUGUAGGCGUUAGAAUAUUGAGAGGAGCCUUCUUUAGUACGAGAGGACCGAGAAGGACAUACCUCUGGUGUACCAGUUAUCGUGCCAACGGUAAACGCUGGGUAGCCAUGUAUGGAGAGGAUAACCGCUGAAAGCAUCUAAGUGGGAAGCUCACCUCAAGAUAAGUAUUCUCA